CUAAUCGGAGCAGAGUGAGUCGGCCCCUAAGGCGAGGCCGAAAGGCGUAGUCGAUGGGAAACGGGUUAAUAUUCCCGUACCUCACUGUAUUGCGAUGGGGAGACGGAGAAGGCUAGGUGAGCCAGGCGUUGGUUGUCCUGGUGAAAGUCGGUAGGCUGGAGAAUCAGGCAAAUCCGGUUCUCCAAGGCCGAGAGACGAGACGAACGGACCACGGUCCGGAAGUCAUUGAUGCCACGCUUCCAGGAAAAACCUCUAAGCU
rnacentral:rRNA from 1 species